CUACCGCAUACGAUCUACGGAUGAAAGUGGGGGACCUUCGGGCCUCAUGCUUUUGGAGCGGCCGAUAUCUGAUUAGCUAGUUGGUGAGGUAAAGGCCCACCAAGGCGACGAUCAGUAGCUGGUCUGAGAGGACGACCAGCCACACUGGAACUGAGACACGGUCCAGACUCCUACGGGAGGCAGCAGUGGGGAAUUUUGGACAAUGGGCGCAAGCCUGAUCCAGCAAUGCCGCGUGAGUGAAGAAGGCCUUCGGGUUGUAAAGCUCUUUUGUCAGGGAAGAAACGGCUGCGGCUAAUAUCCGCGGCUAAUGACGGUACCUGAAGAAUAAGCACCGGCUAACUACGUGCCAGCAGCCGCGGUAAUACGUAGGGUGCAAGCGUUAAUCGGAAUUACUGGGCGUAAAGCGUGCGCAGGCGGUUUUGUAAGUCUGACGUGAAAGCCCCGGGCUCAACCUGGGAAUUGCGUUGGAGACUGCAAGGCUUGAAUCUGGCAGAGGGGGGUAGAAUUCCACGUGUAGCAGUGAAAUGCGUAGAGAUGUGGAGGAACACCGAUGGCGAAGGCAGCCCCCUGGGUCAAGAUUGACGCUCAUGCACGAAAGCGUGGGGAGCAAACAGGAUUAGAUACCCUGGUAGUCCACGCCCUAAACGAUGUCUACUAGUUGUCGGGUCUUAAUUGACUUGGUAACGCAGCUAACGCGUGAAGUAGACCGCCUGGGGAGUACGGUCGCAAGAUUAAAACUCAAAGGAAUUGACGGGGACCCGCACAAGCGGUGGAUGAUGUGGAUUAAUUCGAUGCAACGCGAAAACCUUACCUACCCUUGACAUGGAAGAAUCCUGGAGAGAUCUGGGAGUGCCCGAAAGGGAACCUUCACACAGUGC
rnacentral:rRNA from 1 species